rnacentral:rRNA from 1 species
UACAGAGGUCUCAAGCGUUGUUCGGAUUCAUUGGGCGUAAAGGGUGCGUAGGCGGCGCGGUAAGUCGGGUGUGAAAUCUUGGAGCUUAACUCCGAAACUGCAUUCGAUACUGCCGUGCUUGAGGACUGGAGAGGAGACUGGAAUUUACGGUGUAGCGGUGAAAUGCGUAGAUAUCGUAAGGAAGACCAGUGACGAAGGCGGGUCUCUGGACAGUUCCUGACGCUGAGGCACGAAGGCCAGGGGAGCAAACGGG